UAUAUACUCCCUCCGUCCGAAAAUACUUGUCAUCAAAAUAGAUAAAAGAGGAUGUAUCUAGAUGUAUUUUAGUUCUAGAUACAUCUCUUUUUAUUCAUUUUGAUGACAAGUAUUUUCGGACGGAGGGAGUACUCA
rnacentral:pre_miRNA from 1 species